rnacentral:lncRNA from 1 species
GACUCUCCUAUUACAUAAGUUGAGACAAUGCCCCUUUAGAUAUCUCGAAUUCCUACAUGUAAAAUUAAUGUUUUAUCAAUCGAUAAUGACAAUGUCAGUAGCCUAAGGUAGAAUCUAAAGAAUCAAAUAGUACUGAAUCUUUUGGAUUACGGGCACGCAACAAAAGCCUCUCAGUCUUAAGUCAUGACCCAUGGAUGUGGAUUCUUUUUACAGUAUCAGUAAUUAUAUCCAAUACACAUGAUAGACUACGUACUCUUUUUUUUUUUUUUUUUUUGUAACAAGACUAUGUACUCAUAUUUACAAAAAUAUAUAGGUGAAAAGAAAGAGACGAGAAAAGCUGGAGUUUCCACUUACACUCCUAAAAGUAUUGUGGCAAAGACAGAAGAAGUGUUUGGUAAGGUUUGCAAAUGGGUAAAUAAAGAAUAAAAACAAGAAGACAGGUGGUGAAACAGUAAUUCUCA